rnacentral:rRNA from 1 species
UAAGGAAUAUUGGGCAAUGGAGGCAACUCUGACCCAGCCAUGCCGCGUGAAGGAUGACUGCCCUAUGGGUUGUAAACUUCUUUUGUAUGGGAAUAAACCUCGGUACGUGUACCGAGCUGAAUGUACCAUAAGAAUAAGCAUCGGCUAACUCCGUGCCAGCAGCCGCGGUAAUACGGAGGAUGCAAGCGUUAUCCGGAUUUAUUGGGUUUAAAGGGUGCGUAGGCGGGAUUGUAAGUCAGUGGUGAAAUCCUUCAGCUCAACUGAAGAACUGCCAUUGAUACUGCAGACCUAGAGUACAUUUGAUGUGGGCGGAAUGUGUCAUGUAGCGGUGAAAUGCUUAGAGAUGACACAGAACACCAAUUGCGAAGGCAGCUCACAAAACUGUAACUGACGCUGAGGC